AACAGGUUAUAUAUGGUGCAGU
rnacentral:miRNA from 1 species